rnacentral:rRNA from 1 species
UACGGAGGGUGCAAGCGUUGUCCGGAAUCACUGGGCGUAAAGGGCGCGUAGGCGGCCUGAUAAGUAGGGGGUGAAAUCCUGCGGCUUAACCGCAGGGCUGCCUUCUAAACUGUCAGGCUAGAGCACAGUAGAGGCAGGUGGAAUUCCCGGUGUAGCGGUGGAAUGCGUAGAGAUCGGGAAGAACAUCAGUGGCGAAGGCGGCCUGCUGGGCUGUUGCUGACGCUGAGGAGCGAAAGCAUGGGGAGCGAACAGG